UACAGAGGUCUCGAGCGUUAAUCGGAAUUACUGGGCGUAAAGCGUGCGCAGGCGGUGAUGUAAGACAGUUGUGAAAUCCCCGGGCUCAACCUGGGAACUGCAUCUGUGACUGCAUCGCUGGAGUACGGUAGAGGGGGAUGGAAUUCCGCGUGUAGCAGUGAAAUGCGUAGAUAUGCGGAGGAACACCGAUGGCGAAGGCAAUCCCCUGGACCUGUACUGACGCUCAUGCACGAAAGCGUGGGGAGCAAACAGG
rnacentral:rRNA from 1 species